rnacentral:rRNA from 1 species
UACGUAGGGUGCAAGCGUUGUCCGGAAUUAUUGGGCGUAAAGAGCUCGUAGGCGGUCUGUCGCGUCUGCUGUGAAAACUCAGGGCUUAACCCUGAGCUUGCAGUGGGUACGGGCAGACUAGAGUGCGGUAGGGGAGACUGGAAUUCCUGGUGUAGCGGUGAAAUGCGCAGAUAUCAGGAGGAACACCGGUGGCGAAGGCGGUUUCCUGGCCCAGUACUGACGCUGAGGCACGAAAGCGUGGGGAGCGAACGGG